rnacentral:rRNA from 1 species
UACGUAGGGUGCAAGCGUUGUCCGGAAUUAUUGGGCGUAAAGAGCUCGUAGGCGGUCUGUCGCGUCUGCUGUGAAAACUCGGGGCUUAACCCCGGGCCUGCAGUGGGUACGGGCGGACUAGAGUUCGGUAGGGGAGAGUGGAAUUCCUGGUGUAGCGGUGAAAUGCGCAGAUAUCAGGAAGAACACCCGUGGCUAAGGCGGCUCUCUAGUACGGUACUGACGCUGAGACGCGAAAGCGUGGGGAGCGAACAGG